rnacentral:rRNA from 1 species
GAUGAACGCUGGCGGCGUGCCUAAUACAUGCAAGUCGAGCGAACAGACGAGGAGCUUGCUCCUCUGACGUUAGCGGCGGACGGGUGAGUAACACGUGGAUAACCUACCUAUAAGACUGGGAUAACUUCGGGAAACCGGAGCUAAUACCGGAUAAUAUAUUGAACCGCAUGGUUCAAUAGUGAAAGACGGUUUUGCUGUCACUUAUAGAUGGAUCCGCGCCGCAUUAGCUAGUUGGUAAGGUAACGGCUUACCAAGGCGACGAUGCGUAGCCGACCGGAGAGGGUGAUCGGCCACACGGGAACUGAGACACGGUCCAGACUCCUACGGGAGGCAGCAGUAGGGAAUCUUCCGCAAUGGGCGAAAGCCUGACGGAGCAACGCCGCGUGAGUGAUGAAGGUCUUCGGAUCGUAAAACUCUGUUAUUAGGGAAGAACAAAUGUGUAAGUAACUAUGCACGUCUUGACGGUACCUAAUCAGAAAGCCACGGCUAACUACGUG